GACGAACGCUGGCGGCGUGCUUAACACAUGCAAGUCGAGCGAUGAAGCACCUUCGGGUGUGAAUUAGCGGCGAGCGGGUGAGGAACACGUGAGAAAUCUGCCUUCAACACUGGGAUAACUCCGGGAAACCGGGGCUAAUACCGGAUAUGAAACCUGCGGGCAUCCGCGGGUUUGGAAAGUUUUUCGGUUGAAGAUGAUCUCGCGGCCUAUCAGCUUGUUGGUGAGGUAAUGGCUCACCAAGGCGACGACGGGUAGCCGGCCUGAGAGGGCGACCGGCCACACUGGGACGGAGACACGGCCCAGACUCCUACGGGAGGCAGCAGUGGGGAAUAUUGGGCAAUGGAGGAAACUCUGACCCAGCGACGCCGCGUGCGGGAUGAAGGCCUUCGGGUUGUAAACCGCUUUCAGCAGGGAAGAAGCGAAAGUGACGGUACCUGCAGAAGAAGCACCGGCUAACUAUGUGCCAGCCGCCGCAGUAA
rnacentral:rRNA from 1 species